rnacentral:rRNA from 1 species
UGAGGAAUAUUGGGCAAUGCCCGCAAGGGUGACCCAGCAACGCCGCGUGGAGGAUGAAUGUCGUAAGAUUGUAAACUCCUGUUAGAGGGGAAGAAUAGUACCGGUUGGACCGGUAUAUGACUGUACCCUCAGAGAAAGCCUCGGCUAACUACGUGCCAGCAGCCGCGGUAAAACGUAGGAGGCGAGCGUUAUCCGGAUUUACUGGGCGUAAAGCGCGUGCAGGCGGAUUGGAGAGUUGGAUGUGAAAGCUCCCGGCUUAACUGGGAGAGGUCGUGCAAUACUUCCAGUCUUGAGUGCAGUAGAGGGAAGUGGAAUUCCGGGUGUAGUGGUGAAAUGCGUAGAUAUCCGGAGGAACACCAGUGGCGAAAGCGGCUUCCUGGACUGUAACUGACGCUCAGACGCGAAAGCUAGGGUAGCAAACG